GUGAGGAAUAUUGGUCAAUGGGCGAGAGCCUGAACCAGCCAAGUAGCGUGAGGGAUGACUGCCCUAUGGGUUGUAAACCUCUUUUGCAGGGGGGUAAAGUGGUUCACGUGUGGACCAUUGCAAGUACCCUGCGAAUAAGGAUCGGCUAACUCCGUGCCAGCAGCCGCGGUAAUACGGAGGAUCCGAGCGUUAUCCGGAUUUAUUGGGUUUAAAGUGAGCGUAGGCGGGGGUUUAAGUCAGCUGUGAAAUGCCGUGGCCCAACCAUGGAACUGCAGUUGAAACUGGACCUCUUGAGAGUACAUAAGGAAGGCGGAAUUCGUGGUGUAGCGGUGAAAUGCAUAGAUAUCACGAAGAACUCCGAUUGCGAAGGCAGCUUUCCGGGGUACAUCUGACGCUGAAGCUCGAAAGUGCGGGAAUCAAACAGGAUUAGAAACCCGAGUAGUCC
rnacentral:rRNA from 1 species